UACGUAGGGUGCGAGCGUUAAUCGGAAUUACUGGGCGUAAAGCGUGCGCAGGCGGUGAUGUAAGACCGAUGUGAAAUCCCCGGGCUUAACCUGGGAACUGCGCUCGAAACGGCGGAACUAGAGUUCGGGAGAGGAGAGUGGAAUUCCCAGUGUAGAGGUGAAAUUCGUAGUAUAGUUGGGAGGAACACCUGUGGCGAAAGCGGCGCACUGGACCAUAACUGACGCUGAUGCGCGAAAGCUAGGGGAGCAAACAGG
rnacentral:rRNA from 1 species